rnacentral:rRNA from 1 species
AUGAGAUAUCCCAUAACGUCAAGUUAGUAAGACCCCUUGAAGACGACGAGGUAGAUAGGGCAGAGGUGGAAGUGUGGUAACACAUGGAGCUGACUGUUACUAAUAGGUCGAGGGCAUAACCAAA